rnacentral:lncRNA from 1 species
AAUGGAAUGACGUUUGACAUAAUCAAAGAUCAAGGACUUAACCACAAGACAACUGUGAUGACUCAGGUCAAAUGACUACUUUGCAUUAUCCCAACCAUGAGUUCUCAUGUGACAUGAGUAUGAAAACUCUUCGUUGAUCGCGUUCAGUGAACUCAUUCUCUACUGAGCACCUACGUACUUGUCUUGAUGUCACACACACCAAUGACUCGAGACUAGUCACUCUCCCUGAGAGAAGACAUAGCACGUACCGAUCUUGACGGACUGUCAAUGCCCAAUCGGCAAUCCUAUGAUCAGGAACAUUUAGGAUGUGUCAACGAAAGAAUGGUCUCAUGAAUCUAACUUCAUUAGAU